GGCCUGUUAGCUCAGUUGGUUAGAGCUUGGUGUUAAUAACACCAAGGUCCCAGUGUUCAAUCCCUGUACUGGCCA